AGCACACGAGCAUCUCCUCUCUCUCUCGGCCCCGUUCUUUCGUCUCUCUCUCCCCGACCUCUCCUCUUAUCCGACCUGGCUGUGUUACCCUCACCCUAGUGCGCCGCCGCCCCCAGCCACUACCGGCGCGAACAUCAAGCCACGACUCAAUCUCUCGAUCUCGGCCACCGCAAGGCAUAGGCAUCGAACGGGGGGCGACGAAUUUACUUCAAACUUGCUCCAUGUUAUAGGCAUCGCAUUGCCGUUGUGGCCCGCCAGCCGCCAGACGGUCGGAGCAUCCCAAUCUCGUAAGACGAGUGUAUGGAGGGGAUGACCUUAAACGGCCAUCAACACGUUCUACCCGCUGGCCAAGCUGGUUGCGAUGAACAAGGGCUGGUCCUCCAGCACUCGCAAUUCUGCUUGCCCCGUUCAGCGUCAAGUGAAUAGUGCAAGAUAUACACACAAUGAAGCAUACAUAUUUGCCGAUGGUAUUUAAGGUGCUCUUCACAGUGCGGCCAUCACUUCUGUUUGCCUGUCGAAGCCCAGACGGGACUGAUGAGAAAUCAUGAUGUCCUUCUCCUCUAUGUGCAAGGAUGAUGGUUCUGGUUGUGUACUCAAUAUAUAAGGAGAGGGGAGAGACAUACGGGCUGGGAGUUCUGGAUUUGAUGUCGUCAUACUGAUCAAUUCCACCAUGCCAGACGAGAAUCCUGUCACCAUCUAUGCCUUCCACAGUCCAGAAGGACUCUAGGAACAGCACGUCGGCUGGCUCGCCAUGUCUCCUAGUGGUUCGCCUUGUGCCUCCGGCAGACCAGUAGGACCUCAGGAAGAGCACCUCACCUGACUCGCUAUGUGUCCCGGUGGCCCUUACCUCUGCACUGGCAUAUGGCCAUGGUACUGUUUGUAUUGUAUACGACAAUUUACUUCUGUGAAGGCAUCAGGCAACGGUUAUGAACCCCUCUUAUCGUGAUGGCGUGAGGUGAUGGUAACUCGAUGAUGAUGAGAAGAUUAAUAUGAAUGAAACUUUGGCCCAUGAUCUCCGUGAAGAAAUAAAUGGGUUGGGAAUUAGGUACCAUUACUGUGCACGAUCUUCAAUCUUCCACACCAGAUCUUCUAAUCUUGCAUGGCUUCAUCUCACACGCUGUUCUGAUAAUGAAUUAAAUUCAAAGACAAAUAAGUUUUGGGACUACCUACUAGCAUAUCACUUCAAUAAAUUGAGGCAUGCAUAAAAGCCACUAUAUCUUCACAGAUGAAAUGCUCAUAUCACAAUGUAUUGUAGUGAUUGACAUGAUUUGUUAGAUUUACUUAACAUUUGAGUUGAUUAGCCAGUGCACGCUGCACCGUUUGCUUCAAAAACACACGGAGCAUAUGAGUAAUUAUUAUUUUAGAA